AACGUAGGAGGCAAGCGUUAUCCGGAUUUACUGGGCGUAAAGGGCGUGUAGGUGGUUAGGAAAGUUGGCUGUGAAAGCUCCUGGCUCAACUGGGAGAGGUCAGUCAAAACUUCCUGACUCGAAGGCAGGAGAGGGUAGUGGAAUUCCCGGUGUAGUGGUGAAAUGCGUAGAUAUCGGGAGGAACACCAGUGACGAAGGCGACUACCUGGCCUGUUCUUGACGCUGAGGCGCGAAAGCUAGGGGAGCAAACGGG
rnacentral:rRNA from 1 species